UUGCGAAACGGGAGGAUUCCUCCCGUCGCCCUGGCGUGGUGGCCAGUGGCCUGAUGAGCAGCCCAAU
rnacentral:hammerhead_ribozyme from 2 species